AUACGUAGGGGGCGAGCGUUGUCCGGAAUGAUUGGGCGUAAAGGGCGCGUAGGCGGCCCGGUAAGUCUGGAGUGAAAGUCCUGUUUUUAAGAUGGGAAUUGCUUUGGAUACUGUCGGGCUUGAGUGCAGGAGAGGUAAGUGGAAUUCCCAGUGUAGCGGUGAAAUGCGUAGAGAUUGGGAGGAACACCAGUGGCGAAGGCGACUUACUGGACUGUAACUGACGCUGAGGCGCGAAAGUGUGGGGAGCAAACAGGAUUAGAUACCCUGGUAGUCCACACUGUAAACGAUGAAUGCUAGGUGUAGGGGGUAUCGACCCCUUCUGUGCCGCAGCAAACGCAAUAAGCAUUCCACCUGGGGAGUACGUUCGCAAGAAUGAAACUCAAAUGAAUUGACGGGG
rnacentral:rRNA from 1 species